CCUACGGGAGGCAGCAGUGAGGAAUAUUGGUCAAUGGGCUUACGCCUGAACCAGCCAAGUCGCGUGAGGGAAGACUGCCCUAUGGGUUGUAAACCUCUUUUGUCAGGGAGCAACGCCGGCUACGUGUAGCCGGACUGAGAGUACCUGAAGAAAAAGCAUCGGCUAACUCCGUGCCAGCAGACGCGGUAAUACGGAGGAUGCGAGCGUUAUCCGGAUUUAUUGGGUUUACAGGGUGCGUAGGCGGAAUGCCAAGUCAGCGGUAAAAUCGCGGGGCUCAACCUCGCUCCGCCGUUGAAACUGGCGGUCUUGAGUGGGCGAGAAGUAUGCGGAAGGCGUGGUGUAGCGGUGAAAUGCAUAGAUAUCACGCAGAACUCCGAUUGCGAAGGCAGCAUACCGGCGCCCAACUGACGCUGAAGCACGAAAGCGUGGGUAUCGAACAGGAUUAGAUACCCCUGUAGUC
rnacentral:rRNA from 1 species